rnacentral:piRNA from 1 species
UAAUUGUUGCUUGAUGGGAAGGGCCCAGC